GGCGCUGUAGCUCAGUGGCAGAGCGGGGGACUCAUAAGCCCUAGGUCACUGGUUCAAAUCCAGUCAGCGCCACCA
rnacentral:tRNA from 1 species